rnacentral:rRNA from 1 species
UACGUAGGUGGCAAGCGUUGUCCGGAUUUACUGGGCGUAAAGAGCGCGCAGGCGGUCGGUCAAGUCGCGUGUGAAAGCCCCCGGCUCAACUGGGGAGGGUCACGCGAUACUGAUCGACUCGAAGGCAGGAGAGGGUAGUGGAAUUCCUGGUGUAGCGGUGAAAUGCGCAGAUAUCAGGAGGAACACCGGUGGCGAAGGCGGUUCUCUGGGCAUUACCUGACGCUGAGGAGCGAAAGUGUGGGGAGCGAACAGG